rnacentral:tRNA from 1 species
ACCUGGCUGGCUCAGUCAGUAAAGCAUAGGACUUUUGAUCUUACGGUCGUGAGUUUAAGCCCAAUGUUGGGUG